rnacentral:rRNA from 1 species
GUAGGGCGGGACACGUGGUAUCCUGUCUGAAUAUGGGGGGACCAUCCUCCAAGGCUAAAUACUCCUGACUGACCGAUAGUGAACCAGUACCGUGAGGGAAAGGCGAAAAGAACCCCGGCGAGGGGAGUGAAAAAGAACCUGAAACCGUGUACGUACAAGCAGUGGGAGCACAGAGCAAUCUGUGUGACUGCGUACCUUUUGUAUAAUGGGUCAGCGACUUAUAUUCUGUAGCAAGGUUAACCGAAUAGGGGAGCCGAAGGGAAACCGAGUCUUAACUGGGCGUUAAGUUGCAGGGUAUAGACCCGAAACCCGGUGAUCUAGCCAUGGGCAGGUUGAAGGUUGGGUAACACUAACUGGAGGACCGAACCGACUAAUGUUGAAAAAUUAGCGGAUGACUUGUGGCUGGGGGUGAAAGGCCAAUCAAACCGGGAGAUAGCUGGUUCUCCCCGAAAGCUAUUUAGGUAGCGCCUCGUGAAUUCAUCUCCGGGGGUAGAGCACUGUUUCGGCAAGGGGGUCAUCCCGACUUACCAACCCGAUGCAAACUGCGAAUACCGGAGAAUGUUAUCACGGGAGACACACGGCGGGUGCUAACGUCCGUCGUGAAGAGGGAAACAACCCAGACCGCCAGCUAAGGUCCCAAAGUCAUGGUUAAGU